AAGAUAGUCUUUCAUAUUAUUUACAAAGGAUGUUCAGUCAAUCAUUAAGAAAGGAAUGUACGAUUAGCCUGCCAAAGUUGCAUGCUCAUAAGUCGAGAGUCAAAGACCUACUCAGUCUUGACCCAUUUUGGCAUUUAUAUGCUGCCUCUAAAGUUUCCUAACAUCGCUUAAUAUUUAUACCUAGUCAUUCAAUUGGUCAAAGAGUAUCAACAAUCACCUUCUUAUGAUUGGUUGGAGUCGAGUUAACAUCAUUAAUGCUUACUUAUACUAUUUAGGAAUGCAAAUGAAAGAGUUCAUGAUUCAAACGAUCUUGCAAAAUUCCUAUCCGAGCCAAAUAGGGCUGUGUGACAACAAAAUGUAAAUUACAAACUAAGCCUUCUAUUAGAAUAUCUAAAAAAUAAACUACGUCUUCAUUUAACAACUUAAACUUUUAGAAUAGUUAACAGUGAUCCCACAAAUUCUCACAUGGUAUCAAAGCCCAAGUUACCAACUAGUUUGGACCUAAUAGCCACACGAGUAAGAGUUACCGGUUGUUCCUGCUCCGACCCACGCUCGAUGUGUGAAGGGAGAUUGUUGAGGUUGGAAGGGGUUGGUGGUCGGUAUGUAAAUGUGAGAGAAAGCCUUACCCUUUAAGCUCACUUUUGGGAUAAGACGACCUCCAACAUGAUAUCAGAGCUAGAACUCUAGAGUUCGAAACUUUCCAAACCCCCUUAAUACUAGCUAAAAAGACCAGAAUAAGUGUGAAGUGGAGUAUUAGAAUAUUUAAUUAAUAAACUACACUUUAAUCUAACAGCUUAAAUUUUUAGAACAGUUAAUAGUGGUCCCACAAAAUCUCAUACCUUCAAAUGGAGUCAAGCGGUCCAUUUUAAUCGUAGGAAAUAUGGAUCCAUCUCCUAGAAUUAUGAUGCUAAUGAUGAAUAGGUUGCAUUCUGGUUGAUGUGUACAUAUAAGUCCCCAUAAAAUGAGUAAAUAUGCUUUGCCAUCCCUAACAAAAUACUUGUAGACAUCUGUCAAUUACAUCAGUUUCUUUGGUUCCUAAUUCUUUAGAUACCAUGCAGGGAAAAAUCCCCCAUUAGUCAAGUCUGUUAUAGCCAAAAAGAAUCAACAGGCAUCUUAACUAUGUCCUUUCGUUCAUGCUUUUCAUAAUGAGAUCAUAUUGACUACAUAUCACAACUCACUAAUUGAAUAGAGGUCUUCUCUUGCGUGUUGGCAUUCCAAGUUCAUCAAUUAUGAGCCAGAAUUCCCAUCCUCAUCUCUCGAGAAAAUGUAGUACUGUCCACCUAUCACAUAUUUCACACACCUCAAUAUGGUAAUCACCCAGAUGCAGGAAAUAGGAUAUGCAUAACUUAAAUCACCAAUCAAAUUCAAAAAACUUACCCCUUUUAUUGUUUUUCCCCAAAAAAGUGAGGUCUUCACUCAAUUCGAACAAACCAUAAGGAAAUGUUCCCAAAUCUCCUCUUCCCAUGGACAGCCUGCCUGCCUUUAAUUGGACUCUAGCAGUAAUUUACUCCAUUUUGCAAAACCAGUCCAUAGAUGCCUACUAAACACCAAGAAAAAAACAUUUUUUGGUAAGUGAAAAAAGUGGGGAGGGAUGACCAAUGUUGACUAUACCUUAGGCCUUACCAUAGGAGUUUCAUACCCACCAUAGAAUAUUUGAUUAGGACCAUAACAAAUCAGUACCACCCGAGACCUUAACGUCAGAGAUUGGCAUAGCCCAUUCAGAAAAGCCCAACCAGCGUGUUUGCUGUUCAUAACUCUCUCCACAUAAGGUAACAGCACCCAAAAUCCGACAAAUCCUCUUAGAACAUUGAACACUCUUUAGUACUAACUGCAAGUAAUGCUAAAAUUCAUAGACGUUGCAUACACUCCGGGUUUUAAGAGAGUAGGCUAUUAAUGACAUUGGACCAAACCAUUCCACAUGACGCGUGCAUGUUGUGCAAAUGCGUCACAACAGUGCAACAUGCAUGGCCAUCUGUGGCCACACAAAAGCCAAACAGACUAUUAUCCCGGCUUUGCUGCCUUUUUUGUUUCUCAAUCCUUUCAUUUCCUUCCAAACAUUGCAAGUUUCAGAGAGAUCUAUGGCUAUCACUCAGAGAUAAAUCUCAUAUUAAUUGAGGGGUACAAGAAUCUCAAGGUUUGAAAUGGAACUCAAAGCUAUAUUUAAAGUCUCUUCUAUUUGAUUUUCAUAUUUGAAGAAAAAUGUCAUUUUCAUCACAGAAAUAAAAAUUCCUAAAACGGGUCUAGUUCUUCACAGUAUUUGUGAGAUUCUUUUGCAGGAUUCAAGUUUCAGACCUCUAGCUCAUUCAUCCUAGAAAUCCCAGGUAAAUCUGAUCAAAUUCACGAUUAUAUGCAUGCAUCCUCCUUAAAAGAUAAAAGUAUAUUUUAUGGUCUUGUUUGUAAUUAUUUUCUGCUCAUGCAACUCACCUAGUUGAAAAAUCUAGCUACGAAGUCAUGUGAUUGUUCAACAAGUAUCUUUGCACUAAUUCCCUCUAUCCCAACAAAGCAGCCAAUUUUCAGAAGUAGGGUUAUGCCAUGGUUCGAAUUGAUUUAGUUUGGUUCUUCUUUAGCAGUAAUUUUCAGACCAAACUGAAAAAUCCUCCUAAAACAUAAAUGAUCAAAAUUAAAUCCACGAUUUGGCAUGUACGUAAUAAAGACAUCAAGACAUCGUUUGGGCCUUAUAAUUCUUUUAAACAAGACCUCUGCAUUCUUCGGGACCCAUUUGUAAAAAAGGUCUCCAGGUCCAAAUGUAAUCAAAGUGUGGCCACUUAGACGUAGCUAGCAAAAAAUUUUAUGAGAUGCCAACCAAGAAUGUUAUCUGUUGGACAAGCACAAUUUCUGGGUACAUGAACUGCGGUCAGCUUGAUGAAGCCAGAGGGUUAUUCAAUACAAGUCCAGCCAAGGAUAUUGUCCUGUGGAUGGCUAUGGCCACCACAAUAGUUUUAAUUCUUAUAAGGAAUAGAACACUUUUAGCUUAAAAGUAAAGCAAGUGUAUAAGACUACAAAUUGACAAUGUGAAAGUAGUUUCUAUACAAUAGCAAUUCCUAAAAUUUUCUCGUAAACAGAAGAAAUGUUUGAGAAAAGAUAAUCUCAUUGGUUUUGGUGGGCAAACCUGAACUCAACAGAAAAUUCAAGUUGAACCCUUUUCAUCCCAAACCAAAGAAAAGUUAAUUAAUUGAGUUCAUUCUUUUCUUCUUCUUCUUUUUAAGUAUCUUUAAUUCUUUCUUUUCUGCACGCCCAGCUUAACAUGUUUAGUACAUCGAGCAAACCUCUUAAGUGUUUUAGAACAUCUGUUAUCCUUCCAUGGGCAAUUUGAUUGAGAUGGCUGCCAUUCUGCAAACACGUAGAUCUCAUACUACAACCUCAUAUAUUGGAACACAGAACUAGGGUCCAGUCAGUGGCCAAUCCAGAAACUAACAAACUAACUCUAAUAGUAUCAUAUAAGAGAGGCUAAUAAACAUAUAUAUGCUGAUUAUUAUUACAGUCCUGACUCAUGAAAAUUGUAAUCAAACAUUAGAUAUAUGACUAUUAAACUCUAUUCCAAAUAUAUAACCUUUAAAAUUCACAGAAAUGUGAAAAGACAAAGGCCAACUAAUGUCUAGGCAGCAGAGGAAUGCUCUAUUAGGAGCUGAUAUGUUCCUUCCUAAUUUGGGAAAAAAGCAAGAAAAGCUCUUCACAGCCUUCAAGAAACCUAUAAGCUUGAAAAGAUUUCACUAGUUACUUUAACGUCUUCCAGAUCUGACAUCCAAGAGUAGUUUUGUUUGGUGUGGUUUACAGCAACAGCAGCUAAUUAUGGACAGAAGUAUCAGCAGACAAAGAACAAGAGCUCAUACAUCUGAAGCCACCGACUACAUAAGCCGACUACCAGAUGUAAUUCUAGUCUAUAUACUUUCAUUCCUCCCUCUGAAAGACUGCAUCAAAAUAAGUGCCCUAUCCAAAAGAUGGAAGUACCUUUGGACAAAGACUUCUCGACUAAAUAUAAACGAAAUAGAGAUCAUUGCUAAGCUAGUGAGAAGCAAUUUCUACUGCACCAUCUGUGAGGACAUUUGGACUUCUUCUACUACUUGUUGCCAGAAGCAUUUGCUUAAGGUAGCAAGGAGCAUGUUUGCAGAUGUUGUAGACCGAACUCUCCUACUACACUCAGGCUGCACCCUGGACAAAUUCCAAUUGUCUUUCCUUUAUGAUGUCUAUGAUGGAUUGACAGAAAAGGUUGAUAUCUGGGUUAGGUAUGCUUGGGCAUCCAACAUCAAAGAUAUGGAGUUGAGCUUCUUUAAUCCAGGUCUGUUGGAAUACUUCGAUGAGAGGGUACCUGUUCGCGUAGGUGUCGACCUUAAUUUACUAUAUGAACUGCCUCAUAACUGUUUGGUAUCAAAGAUUCUAAGCAGUUUGAACAUGAACUGCUGCAAGCUAAGAGCAUCUGCUUUAAAAGUUUUUCCUUCUCUUCGAAGGAUAUUCCUAAAGCAGGUUGUCAUCCUUGAUUCUUCAGUUAGAGUUCUGGCAUCAAAAUUUCCUCUUCUAGAAGAUCUGAGCCUGGAAAAUUGUGUCAUCUCCAUACAAUUUUUUGUAUGUGAUGAAGACUUGAUGAUUAAAAGACUUUAUGUGACCAACUGCAAGCCCAAUGAGAUCCCCACCUUCGAGAUUAACAUAUCAACUCCGCGCCUAGUACUACUGGUGUUACAUGGAGUCUAUGUCAAAUUGACUUCUAUGAGGAAAGUGACACAACUGGUUGACGUUACAAUCGACAUCAGAUGUUUGCUUGUCAGCAAAGAACAAGCAGGUCUUACUUCAUUGCUGAGUGGAUUACGCCACUCCCAGAAUCUGACAUUAACAUCAUGGUGCAUUCAGGUAGCUUUUCUCUAUUCCUCUUGCUUGCAAAUUUUGAGCCAAAUACACUCAUUGUCACAUAUCAGUCUGUGGUCAUCAGGCUCUGCCUGCAGAUGAAAAUCUGACAGAUCAAGCGAGAUUCCGACUUCAAGAGGUGGUGCAACUAACUUUAGCGCUGUGCUUAGUAAAGCAUGAUCUUCCGAGGGUGGCCUGCCUCCUAAGGAGCUGUCCAAAUCUGAAAUAGCUGACUCUAACAUUGCAAGGAAAUGCUAGGGCAUAUAACAUGGUAUCAGAAAAAAGAAUCUUACAAGGAAAUAUUAUGAUAUUUUCUGCUCUAUCAGGAGCAUCUAACAUGUGAUCUUACUGUUUUCUUUAGGGUAAUUUCUUCCGUAAUGGUGGUCCAGACAUUUCAGACUGUGAUCCAGAGCACUACUUUCAAUCUGAAUGUUUGCCAUUCCCUUGUCUGGAAAACAGUCUCGAGAAAAUUACAGUUAAUGGGUUUGCUGGAAGAAAGAAUGAGAUGAACGUUGUCCGUUUUCUGCUGAGAAACGCAAGAGUCUUGGAGGAAAUUUCCAUCUUUUAUGAAGACGCAGAGGAGUAUUAUAGAGGAGCAAUGGGACUGUGGAGGCAAAAUGGGCAAUUCCAUCAAAUAUUUUGUGAGCUGCUAAGGUGUCAGAGGGUAUCGGCUCGAGCUGAGGUGAUAUUUUCAAGCCCCCCAAGCGAAUAUGUUAAUUAUGAAGGGUCCUACUAUCUGGUUCAGUAGUUAUGUCUAUGCUGUUCCUAAGUUCUCCCUUUCACAUCGUGCUGAGGAAGGCAUACGUUUUAUAUGGCAGAUCUCUUAUGUUUGGUACCAACUUGUUUGCAGUACUUAUAAAUAAAUACCGCUCAUGUGAUUAUGACGUCCAAUUGUGACAAAAUGACGUGUGGCCUUUUAUCCAUCUAUUCUUGUUAGCUCUAUUGAAUAUCCUCAGCUAUUAUCAGGAGUAAACCAAGCCUCUUGCAACCAAGGACCCAAUUCAUUUUGAGGUAGCUUGACUUCUGGCAAGUAUUUAACAUCCACCUUAGGCCAAACAAAAGAUAUGUACAUGCUACAUGCACACCUACUCAGUCAAGCAGUACAAAUCUUGUUUUAUUUUUACAGGGACGGAACACCUAGCAAACCAUCUAAUAAAAAAGCAUACAAAAAUCAACUUGACUGCCCCUGCAACAUAUUUUCAGCACCCCUGUGCCUUGUGUUUCUACAUUCUGAACACCGUUACAAUAGUUGAGAAUGAGUAGUUCUAGUCUAGAUGGAAUCCAUGAAGUGAAUAUGACAUGACAGAUUAAACAGAAUCCCAUAAAACCAUAUCACAUUUAGAGUCCCACAUAUAGCCAAUGCAAUUCAAACAUCAAAGACAUGAUUAACUAUAACAUUGCAAAUUCAAGAAUGCAGCACAUACCAACAACAUUAAGUGAGCAGGCUUCUUUGCCUUGGGUGCAAAAGAGUAAGAGGAUCCAGCCUCACGUGAUUGAUGAGAAAGCGCUCCUGGUUUCCAUAUCAACAGAAAGCAGGUGUAUUACAGAACAAGUAGCGAAAAUCCAGCCCAUGGUGGCGCCAGCGCCUCAAAUAGAGAUGUCCCAUCCAGUAGAGAGAUUGAAACUGGGCUCAGGUUGGAAUGAGAGAGAAAGCUAAGAACCCUGUAUAAAAAGCAAGAGAAUAGAAAAAAUGGAUGGAAAUUGUCAGGUUGGAUCUCAAAUUGGACCCAGUGUUAGAUCUUCUAUGGAACUAACCAUACAGGCAUCGAUUUGUAUUGUAAUCUUGGAAACGUUUACAGCGUGUUCUGUGUUUUGGCUAAGAGUUUGUGCAUAAGGAAUUUGACAUGUGAAGAAAACAACUCUCUCUCUCUCUCUCUCUCUCAAGCAAGUUUGAGAUUGAUUGACCAGAAAGAAUUACUGAAACGGGAGCUAUAUUACUCAAACGGAAAAUGAGCGCAACGAUGCACAAAUCAAUGGAAGAAAAAGUUGCGAAUUGAUGCAGAUAACCCCCAUAGCAACAUCCAGUUUAGCAUCGUAUAUUGUCAAUAUUCCUGGAAAUCUCGGCUAAAGUCUUGAACUUUUCGAGGUUAUUUUCACCCACAAACGGUGUGAACGCGGCAAAAACCAAACUUUAACCGACUUCGAUCCAUAAAAACGCACUGAAAAUAGAUUCGCGGAGAAAAACGCCAUCCGGGUACCUCUCGGGAGAAGUUUCGCAGUCUGGAGCGAAGUUUCUGAAAAGAAAGCGGAGGGGGCGACGAUGGCGAAAUGGCUUUUAGCUAUUGCCGGUGGGGGGGGACCGCUUCACGGUUUUGCAUUUUCUGGAACCCUGCUCCGCGACCGCAGAUCGUCCCGGGACGAUCCCUGCUUUUCUAGAUGACUCUCGUGGGAACACGAUUCUUUUGAGGCGUCCGAUGAUUCGAGCCAGCGGGGAAAUGGUAAGGGAAAUCGAAAGGCGAGAGGAAUGCGUCCCGCCAUGCUACGCGCGCUUUCUUUUUGCUUUGUCGCGGACCAUUUCUCUACUACCACCAACGCCAACACACUCAAAACCGAAUGUGAUCUUCUUUUCAUCGUGUUGUUGUCGUUGUCUGAUAAUUGCCACCACCUUCUCUUUUACUGCAGAUUUUUUUAUACAUAAAAAAGUGUACGAUCAACGAUAUUGAACAAUCAAUUGAUGCAUAUGAACAAAAAUCGGGUGUUGUACGGUCUUUUCUACUUUUGCGGGUACUGAUAAAUCUUAAAAAUUCAUAGAUUACCCACUCUUGGACCCUAUCGCCUCUCGGACAGCUGG
rnacentral:lncRNA from 1 species